AGCAGCCGCGGUAAUUCCAGCUCCAAUAGCGUAUAUUAAAGUUGUUGCAGUUAAAAAGCUCGUAGUUGAAUUUCGGGACCAAUUUGUUGGUCGUGCCUCGGUACGUACUGGUAUUAUUGGUUUCUCCCUUCUGAAGAACCUCGAUGCCAUUAAUUUGGUGUCGUGGGGAAUCAGGACUGUUACUUUGAAAAAAUUAGAGUGUUUAAAGCAAGCAUACGCUUGAAUACAUUAGCAUGGAAUAAUGAAAUAGGACGUUUGAUUCUAUUUUGUUGGUUUCUAGGAUCGACGUAAUGAUUAAUAGGGAUAGUUGGGGGCAUUAGUAUUCAAUUGUCAGAGGUGAAAUUCUUGGAUUUAUUGAAGACUAACUACUGCGAAAGCAUUUGCCAAGGAUGUUUUCAUUAAUCAAGAACGAAAGUUAGGGGAUCGAAGACGAUCAGAUACCGUCGUAGUCUUAACCAUAAACUAUGCCGACUAGGGAUCGGAUGAUGUUAAUUUUUAAUGACCCAUUCGGCG
rnacentral:rRNA from 1 species